rnacentral:rRNA from 1 species
GAUGAACGCUGGCGGCGUGCUUAACACAUGCAAGUCGAACGAAGAUGCCGGAGUGCUUGCACUUUGGCAGACUGAGUGGCGGACGGGUGAGUAACGCGUGGGUAACCUGCCUUAUACAGGGGGAUAACAGUUGGAAACGACUGCUAAUACCGCAUAAGCGCACGGUAUCGCAUGAUACAGUGUGAAAAACUCCGGUGGUAUAAGAUGGACCCGCGUCUGAUUAGCUUGUUGGUGAGGUAACGGCUCACCAAGGCGACGAUCAGUAGCCGGCCUGAGAGGGUGAACGGCCACAUUGGGACUGAGACACGGCCCAAACUCCUACGGGAGGCAGCAGUGGGGAAUAUUGCACAAUGGGGGAAACCCUGAUGCAGCGACGCCGCGUGAGUGAUGAAGUAUUUCGGUAUGUAAAACUCUAUCAGCAGGGAAGAUAAUGACGGUACCUGACUAAGAAGCACCGGCUAA